rnacentral:SRP_RNA from 1 species
UCGCACUAGUCGGGGAGUUAGCGGUGCCCUGUUGCCUGCAAUCCGCUACAGCGGGGAUGAAUUCCCACACCCGGGCUUGUCGGAGUACCGUCUGACCUGCGUAAGCGGCGUUGAUGGAUCGGUCUUGCGCAACGAGAUCCCGUGAACCAUGUCAGGUGGGGAACCAAGCAGCAUUAAGCGGAUCGUCUCGUGUGCCGCGAGGCUGCCGUUCCUGAGUUGGCUGCGCCGGUACCGGGUAUUCUGCUUGCUCAAAUGUGGGUGUGCGA